rnacentral:rRNA from 1 species
GUAGGGAAUAUUGCGCAAUGGGGGAAACCCUGACGCAGCGACGCCGCGUGAGUGAUGAAGGCCUUCGGGUCGUAAAGCUCUGUUGCAGGGGAAUAAAAAAAUGAAGGUACCCUGUGAGGAAGGAUCGGCUAACUUCGUGCCAGCAGCCGCGGUAAGACGAGGGAUCCUAGCGUUGCUCGGAAUCAUUGGGCGUAAAGAGGGCGUAGGUGGCUUGGUAAGUCAGGUGUGAAAGCCCAGGGCUCAACCCUGGAAGUGCAUUUGAUACUGCUGAGCUUGAGUGUCGGAGAGGUUACCGGAAUACCUGGUGUAGUGGUGAAAUACGUAGAUAUCAGGUGGAACACCGGAGGCGAAGGCGGGUAACUGGACGAACACUGACACUGAGGCCCGAAAGCGUGGGGAUCAAACAGGAUUAGAAACCCUGGUAGUCC